GACGAACGCUGGCGGCGUGCUUAACACAUGCAAGUCGAACGAUGAGGCCGGAGCUUGCUCUGGUGAAUUAGUGGCGAACGGGUGAGUAACACGUGAGUAACCUGCCCUUGACUCUGGGAUAACUGCGGGAAACUGUAGCUAAUACCGGAUACGACCCUCGGAGGCAUCUCCUGGGGGUGGAAAGAAUUCCGGUCAAGGAUGGACUCGCGGCCUAUCAGCUAGUUGGUGAGGUAAAGGCUCACCAAGGCGACGACGGGUAGCCGGCCUGAGAGGGUGACCGGCCACACUGGGACUGAGACACGGCCCAGACUCCUACGGGAGGCAGCAGUGGGGAAUAUCGCACAAUGGGCGCAAGCCUGAUGCAGCAACGCCGCGUGAGGGAUGACGGCCUUCGGGUUGUAAACCUCUUUUAGCAGGGAAGAAGCGAAAGUGACGGUACCUGCAGAAAAAGCACCGGCUAACUACGUGCCAGCCGCCGCGGUAA
rnacentral:rRNA from 1 species